ACGGAGGGUGCGAGCGUUAAUCGGAAUCACUGGGCGUAAAGCGCACGUAGGCGGUGUCGUAAGUCGGAUGUGAAAGCCCUCGGCUCAACCGGGGAACUGCAUUCGAUACUGCGACGCUUGAGUGCCGGAGAGGGUGGCGGAAUUCCAGGUGUGGGGGUGAAAUCCGUAGAUAUCGGGAGGAGCACCAGUGGCGAAGGCGGCCACCGGGCCGGCAACUGAGGUUGGGGUGCGAAAGCGUGGGAUCAAACAG
rnacentral:rRNA from 1 species